CCUACGGGCGGCAGCAGUAGGGAAUUUUCGUCAAUGGGCGCAAGCCUGAACGAGCAAUGCAGCGUGAACGAGGAAGGUCUUAGGAGCGGAAAGUUCUGUUGAUGGGGAAAAAAAGCGGGGAGAGGAAAUGCUUUCUGAUUUAUAUUAUCCUUCGAGGAAGUCACGGCUAACUACGUGCCCGCAGCCAAUGUAAUACGAAGGGGGCGAGCGGUAGCCGGAUUGAUUGGGCGUAAAGGGAGCGUAGGCGGCCUGCUAAGUCUGAAGUGAAAGGUAGCGGCUCAACAUGUACAGGCUAGGGAAACUGGCGGGUUAUAGAGCAAGUGAGGGCGGUGGAACUCCAUGUGGAGCGGUAAAAUGCGUAGAUAUAUGGGAGAACAUCAGUGUCGAAGGCGGCCGCCUGGCCUGUUAACUGACGCUGAGGCACGAAAGCGUGGGGAGCAAACAGGAUUAGAUACCCCGGUAGUC
rnacentral:rRNA from 1 species